rnacentral:rRNA from 1 species
GGACGAACGCUGGCGGCGUGCUUAACACAUGCAAGUCGAACGGUGAAGCGCUUUCCUUUUUGGUUGGUGUGGAUGAGUGGCGAACGGGUGAGUAACACGUGAGUAACCUGCCCCCUUCUUCUGGAUAACCGCAUGAAAGUGUGGCUAAUACGGGAUAUUCUGCGCCUGCUGCAUGGUGGGUGUGGGAAAGAUUGUGCCUUUGGGUGUUUUCGGUGGGGGAUGGGCUCGCGGCCUAUCAGCUUGUUGGUGGGGUGAUGGCCUACCAAGGCGGUGACGGGUAGCCGGCCUGAGAGGGUGGACGGUCACACUGGGACUGAGACACGGCCCAGACUCCUACGGGAGGCAGCAGUGGGGAAUAUUGCACAAUGGGCGCAAGCCUGAUGCAGCGACGCCGCGUGAGGGAUGGAGGCCUUCGGGUUGUGAACCUCUUUCGCCAGUGAAGCAGGCCUGUCCCUUUUGUGGGUGGGUUGACGGUAGCUGGAUAAGAAGCGCCGGCUAACUACGU